rnacentral:rRNA from 1 species
GACGUAGGAUCCGAGCGUUGUCCGGAGUUACUGGGCGUAAAGCGCGCGCAGGCGGACACGCGCAUCGGCGGUGAAAGCCCCCCGCUCAACGGGGGAGGGUCCGUCGAGAUGGCGUGUCUGGAGGCAGGGAGAGGCCAGUGGAAUUCCGGGUGUAGUGGUGAAAUGCGUAGAGAUCCGGAGGAACACCAGUGGCGAAGGCGGCUGGCUGGACCGACACUGACGCUGAGGCGCGAAAGCUAGGGUAGCAAACGGG